UCCAGGGUAGCCUAGUGGACAUGGAAUUUGGCUGGUAAGCAGAACACUGUGGGUUUGAUUCCCAUUACUGAAC